UGCAAGUCGAACGAACUCUGGUAUUGAUUGGUGCUUGCAUCAUGAUUUACAUUUGAGUGAGUGGCGAACUGGUGAGUAACACGUGGGAAACCUGCCCAGAAGCGGGGGAUAACACCUGGAAACAGAUGCUAAUACCGCAUAACAACUUGGACCGCAUGGUCCGAGCUUGAAAGAUGGCUUCGGCUAUCACUUUUGGAUGGUCCCGCGGCGUAUUAGCUAGAUGGUGGGGUAACGGCUCACCAUGGCAAUGAUACGUAGCCGACCUGAGAGGGUAAUCGGCCACAUUGGGACUGAGACACGGCCCAAACUCCUACGGGAGGCAGCAGUAGGGAAUCUUCCACAAUGGACGAAAGUCUGAUGGAGCAACGCCGCGUGAGUGAAGAAGGGUUUCGGCUCGUAAAACUCUGUUGUUAAAGAAGAACAUAUCUGAGAGUAACUGUUCAGGUAUUGACGGUAUUUAACCAGAAAGCCACGGCUAACUACGUGCCAGCAGCCGCGGUAAUACGUAGGUGGCAAGCGUUGUCCGGAUUUAUUGGGCGUAAAGCGAGCGCAGGCGGUUUUUUAAGUCUGAUGUGAAAGCCUUCGGCUCAACCGAAGAAGUGCAUCGGAAACUGGGAAACUUGAGUGCAGAAGAGGACAGUGGAACUCCAUGUGUAGCGGUGAAAUGCGUAGAUAUAUGGAAGAACACCAGUGGCGAAGGCGGCUGUCUGGUCUGUAACUGACGCUGAGGCUCGAAAGUAUGGGUAGCAAACAGGAUUAGAUACCCUGGUAGUCCAUACCGUAAACGAUGAAUGCUAAGUGUUGGAGGGUUUCCGCCCUUCAGUGCUGCAGCUAACGCAUUAAGCAUUCCGCCUGGGGAGUACGGCCGCAAGGCUGAAACUCAAAGGAAUUGACGGGGGCCCGCACAAGCGGUGGAGCAUGUGGUUUAAUUCGAAGCUACGCGAAGAACCUUACCAGGUCUUGACAUACUAUGCAAAUCUAAGAGAUUAGACGUUCCCUUCGGGGACAUGGAUACAGGUGGUGCAUGGUUGUCGUCAGCUCGUGUCGUGAGAUGUUGGGUUAAGUCCCGCAACGAGCGCAACCCUUAUUAUCAGUUGCCAGCAUUAAGUUGGGCACUCUGGUGAGACUGCCGGUGACAAACCGGAGGAAGGUGGGGAUGACGUCAAAUCAUCAUGCCCCUUAUGACCUGGGCUACACACGUGCUACAAUGGAUGGUACAACGAGUUGCGAACUCGCGAGAGUAAGCUAAUCUCUUAAAGCCAUUCUCAGUUCGGAUUGUAGGCUGCAACUCGCCUACAUGAAGUCGGAAUCGCUA
rnacentral:rRNA from 1 species